CAGCCUGAUUCUAUUUCAUACAGCCUGAUUCUAUUUACAUAUUUUAAAAUGUAAACUACUCUAUGGUGACAUAAAGCUUAUCAUUGAUUAUCUGAGGAGUUGGGGAGAGAGGAAGGAAUACAAAGUGACCUGGAAAAACUUUUGGGAGAAAUGAUUAUUUUCAUUAUUUUGGGCCUAAUCUAUAUUUUGGUUGUUAUGUUGACUGUACAACUAUAAAUAUUUUUCAAUACUCAACUGAUUUUUACUGGAAAUAACUUUUAAAGAAAUGAAGCUUCAUAAUCAUAUCACUCUCCCCAAUAAAUCUUUUAAAGUUUUCAUAGUAUUACAUUUAAAUCCAACACAGCUGUAAGUUUUACUUUCAAUGAUAAUACAUGUUUUAAAGAGCUUAAGAGGAGGAAAAUCAUUUUUUAUAUUCACUAUUUCUGUUUAUCUUUAUUUCUGAAGUUUCACUAUUCUCUCUGAUAUCAUUUACAUUCAGCCUCAAGAAAUUCCUUUAGAUGUUAAUGAAUGUUUUUAUUUUAUCUUUAUUCCUGAAGUAUAUUUUCACUGGAUAUAGAACUCUGGUUUGACAGUUCUAUCCUUUCAGCAAUUUGAAGACAUUGUCUCUCUGACUUCUGCCCUCCAUGGUUUCUGAUGAGAAAACCAUAGUAUUUCAAAUUAUUGUUAUCAUUUAUUUUAUGUAUCAUUUAU